GUGGGGAAUUUUGGACAAUGGGGGAAACCCUGAUCCAGCCAUGCCGCGUGUGUGAAGAAGGCCUUCGGGUUGUAAAGCACUUUCGGACGGAACGAAAUCGCGCGGGUGAAUAUCCCGCGUGGAUGACGGUACCGUAAGAAGAAGCACCCGCUAACUACGUGCCAGCAGCCGCGGUAAUACGUAGGGUGCGAGCGUUAAUCGGAAUUACUGGGCGUAAAGUGUGCGCAGGCGGCGUCGCAAGUCGAGUGUGAAAGCCCCGGGCUUAACUUGGGAAUUGCGCUCGAAACUACGUGGCUGGAGUGUGGCAGAGGAAGGUGGAAUUCCAGGUGUAGCGGUGAAAUGCGUAGAGAUCUGGAGGAACACCGAUGGCGAAGGCAGCCUUCUGGGCCAACACUGACACUCAUGCACGAAAGCGUGGGGAGCAAA
rnacentral:rRNA from 1 species